rnacentral:rRNA from 1 species
AAUUAACACUUUAGGUAGUAAGUAAACCAAUAUGUACUGGCGGUCUUAUUCCGUUAGAGAAACUCGCUUUAUAAUCGAAAAUACCCGUUAAAUCUAACUUUACAUUAAAGUCUAUAUACCGCCGUUACAGAAUUACCAUAAAACUAAAAUACUUAAAAUUUAAAGAUAAAAAAUCAGGUCAAGGUGUAACAAAUAGUAAAGAAAAAGUAAGUUACAUUAAAAACAAUUUAAGGACAAAAUAUAAAAAUAUUUUCCAAAGAGAAUUUAUUAGUACCUAUUAGUCAAAAUCUAAUAUAGAAAUAUCCCUUUAAGAUGC